ensembl:lncRNA
AUGAAGACUGAAGAACCGGCUGCCUCACAGCAGAGUUCUUCAUCUGCGCUCGGGAGAGGGAGUGAGAGGGAGAAAGCGUGCUGUGUAUUUACUCAGGUGUGUUCCUGUUCUUGGCAACUGUGCUACAACAAUAUUGAAAACAGGCUGCUGAGCUUCAUGAACAACUUGAACGUGGGGAUGUUUCAGUCAAAUCUCAGGAGCUCCCCCUCACUAAAACAUUUCUUCAUCCGAAAUGCAAGUCAUGGAAUGCCUGGCGAUUCGAAGUUAUCCAGACCAUUACCAAUGCUUUUGGAUAGAAGUUUUCCAGGAGACGUUUUUCCAGGAGGUCUUACUUCUAAAAGGAAGCACACAGUGUGUUGUGUACUCACUUUAAUAUGUAAAGCAGUCUCACAUGGCCGAAUAAGCAUAUGGAACUCUUGCCAAGAGUGCAGAAAACAGUGACUCACCUUUAAUUUUUUCAUAAUAACAGUUGAUCAAGACACUUUAUUAUGCAAAUAAGUAACCCACUAACCCUGAAAUUUCUGUCUGACUUGUCAGAUUUCUCCUAAUAGAGAUGGUAUGUGGAGAAGACAGACUGGGUCAGGGUGUGGCUUCAUAUUGGGACAUGUUUGUGUGUUGUGAGUAAGGCCAUGUCUUCUGUCUGGUCCUUGAUGAGGACCUCUGCUGUUAUGUAGACCUUGCCCCAUGGGCUUGUUCAUGGGCUUGCUAUGUGGCUUCUUUUCUCCAGUGGCCUCCAGAUUCCAUAAGGAGAUGAAGAUAUUUCAAAUACAAUGCAAGUGAAGGAGAUCAUUUAGGAAGGGAGAGCUAUGGAAACCAUGCAAAGAGCCCACACAAGCAAUUAUGCACAUUAAUGCACAUAAUACGAUCAUUUUUCAACUACAAGUUUUCAUUUGCACCAUCAUAUCCAAGUUACUGUUUCAAAUAACUUAAAUGCAUACUAUUUACUAUUUACAGAUAUGCAAAUACAUUUUUUAACUUAAGAGUAAUGCAGUAUUAUAAAAUGUUAAAAUGUAACAUUUACUUUUUUAAGUAAAACAAUAUUGUUGAAUAUUAUAUUUGAUAAAAAGAGUGUAACAUCAUUAGUCUUUUUAUGAGUAAUGCAAUAUUGUAAAAUUACUUUUAAAAGUAACAUUCUCUAACACUUACAGUAUGUCAAGUCUAUUUGUAAUACACAUUAUAUAAUAUGUGCUACAAGUACUGCAGAAUAUAAUCUAUUAAUAUUUUCAUGCCUUAUAGUCACAUUACGCAGAUUAGGGUUGUGCAAUGAUAUAGUUUACAUUUUGUAUUGAUACAAACAUUGGUUACACUUCAUUUUAAGGUUUUCUUGUUAUAAUGUAAUUAUACAUUUAAGUACCACUGAGUAAUAUUAAUUAACUCCAUGUAUUUACUACAUGGUUAGGGUAAGGAUUAUGGUUUGGUUUAGGGUUACUUGCACAUAAUUAUGCAUCAUUAAUUGUUAUUAUAAUAGAAAAUACAUGUAAAGUGCGACAAGGACACCUUAAAAUAACACAAAUAAAGAGUUACACAAACAUUCA